GGAGGGCUCUAGCACAGUGGUAGAGCAACUGCCUUGCCCGCAGAAGGUCCCAGGUUCAAUGGCCCAUGGCAUCUCCA